GUGUGUGUGAUGUGAACAAAACAGUAUGAGAAACCGUGAUACUGUAAACGCUUUCUGAUGUG
rnacentral:snoRNA from 2 species